GACGAACGCUGGCGGCGUGCUUAACACAUGCAAGUCGAACGGAAAGGCCCUGCUUUUGUGGGGUGCUCGAGUGGCGAACGGGUGAGUAACACGUGAGUAACCUGCCCUUGACUUUGGGAUAACUUCAGGAAACUGGGGCUAAUACCGGAUAGGAGCUCCUGCUGCAUGGUGGGGGUUGGAAAGUUUCGGCGGUUGGGGAUGGACUCGCGGCUUAUCAGCUUGUUGGUGGGGUAGUGGCUUACCAAGGCUUUGACGGGUAGCCGGCCUGAGAGGGUGACCGGCGACAUGGGGACUGAGAUACGGCCCAGACUCCUACGGGAGGCAGCAGGGGGGAAUAUUGCACAAUGGGCGGAAGCCUGAUGCAGCAACGCCGCGUGCGGGAUGACGGCCUUCGGGUUGUAAACCGCUUUCGCCUGUGACGAAGCGUGAGUGACGGUAAUGGGUAAAGAAGCACCGGCUAACUACGUG
rnacentral:rRNA from 1 species